GAUGAAGAACGCAGCGAAAUGCGAUAAGUAAUGUGAAUUGCAGAAUUCAGUGAAUCAUCGAAUCUUUGAACGCACCUUGCGCUCUUUGGUAUUCCGAAGAGCAUGCCUGUUUGAGUGUCAUGAAAAUAUCAACCUUGACUUGGGCUUUGUGCUCUAGUCUCGGCUUGGAAUUGGGUGCUUGCCGCUUUUACGAGCGGCUCACCUUAAAUGUAUUAGCUGGAUCUGUCUUUGAGACUUGGUUUGACUUGGCGUAAUAAGUAUUUCGCUAAGGACAUUCUUCGGAGUGGCCUCGUUUCUAGGACGCUUGUCCGCUUUCCAAUACAAGUUCCACCUCGUGGACAUGACUUUUUAUUAUCUGGCCUCAAAUCAGGUAGGACUACCCGCUGAACUUAAGCAUAUCAAUAAGCGGAGGA
rnacentral:misc_RNA from 1 species